GAUGAGCAUGCGUCCCAUUAGCUAGUUGGUAAGGUAACGGCUUACCAAGGCAACGAUGGGUAGGGGUCCUGAGAGGGAGAUCCCCCACACUGGUACUGAGACACGGACCAGACUCCUACGGGAGGCAGCAGUGAGGAAUAUUGGUCAAUGGGCGCAAGCCUGAACCAGCCAUGCCGCGUGCAGGAUGAAGCAUCUAUGGUGUGUAAACUGCUUUUGUACGAGAAGAAACACUCCUACGUGUAGGAGCUUGACGGUAUCGUAAGAAUAAGGACCGGCUAACUCCGUGCCAGCAGCCGCGGUAAUACGGAGGGUCCAAGCGUUAUCCGGAAUCAUUGGGUUUAAAGGGUCCGUAGGCGGUUUAGUAAGUCAGUGGUGAAAGCCCAUCGCUCAACGGUGGAACGGCCAUUGAUACUGCUAAACUUGAAUUAUUAGGAAGUAACUAGAAUAU
rnacentral:rRNA from 1 species